rnacentral:rRNA from 1 species
AUGGUCACGGCCUGGCGCUCGACGGUUGCGGCAAAGGAGCUGACGGUGCACGAGCGGCAGGAGCACGGAGCAUCGACAGCAGCAUGGAGAGCGACCUCUUAUUGGGAAGGUAUGGCGGCUUCCCAACCCAACAAACCAACGAUGAAGGAGGAUGGCGAAGAUGAGAUGUCGGGAUGGUGGGAGAAGGCUGCGAAGAAGCUUAGAGAGGAGGAUGCAGCCAAGCUAAAGAAGAAGAAGGAAGAGGAGCUUGAGAAGGAGAGGAAGCGAAAACAGACUGCGGCAAAUGCGAUGCAUGCUAGGGAGCAAGCGUUGAUGAGGAAAGUUGAGGAGGCACAGAAGAAGCGUCAACAGGAUUUUUAA